AACGCGAAGAACCUUACCUACUCUUGACAUCCACGGAAUUUAGCAGAGAUGCUUUAGUGCCUUAGGGAACCGUGAGACAGGUGCUGCAUGGCUGUCGUCAGCUCGUGUUGUGAAAUGUUGGGUUAAGUCCCGCAACGAGCGCAACCCUUAUCCUUUGUUGCCAGCGAGUAAUGUCGGGAACUCAAAGGAGACUGCCGGUGAUAAACCGGAGGAAGGUGGGGAUGACGUCAAGUCAUCAUGGCCCUUACGAGUAGGGCUACACACGUGCUACGAUGGCAUAUACAAAGAGAAGCGAACUCGCGAGAGCAAGCGGACCCCAUAAAGUAUGUCGUAGUCCGGAUUGGAGUCUGCAACUCGACUCCAUGAAGUCGGAAUCGCUAGUAAUCGUAGAUCAGAAUGCUACGGUGAAUACGUUCCCGGGCCUUGUACACACCGCCCGU
rnacentral:rRNA from 1 species